GCUCGGGCAAAGUCCCCCGUCACUCGCUCGGUGGAGCUUGGCUCAGACAUGCUUGGGGUUCUGCAAGUAAGAUGUGGGGAGAGAGGACGGGAGAACUGGGAGUGUCUGCAUCGGGCUGGACAGCUGGGUAGACACGGGGUGAGGGCAGACGUGAACACCCGCACAGGGUGGGGGACGGUGACCAUGUGGACCAGCCAACAGACUCCAGAGCCCGAAGGGUGAGGCCGAAUUGCGGAACUGAGCGCAGCAGAGAGGGCUGUGGGGGAAGGAGGGCGGCGGGGUGCCUGAAAUCAGGACGCUGGGAGCAGUGCCGCUCCUGGUAACGCUGGGGUCCUAGGGCUCGGUGGCUGGAGUGUGUGGCCGAGGUGGGGUGAGCCUGCAGGGGACGGGGGCUGGCGGGGUUCUGGGCUGAUUUCAGAGGCUGCCAGUCUACACCAAUGAAGACAUGCGUCACGGUGGAGAAGUGAACGUAAGCCCAACGCUGGAGGCCUCCGCCCAGCGGAUAGACGCUGGAAGAUGCGUGCGAGCGGAGGGGUGAUGGAUACCCAACAGCAGGCUGGCGUGGGCUUCCAAGGGCCUGGGGUUUGGGAGGGAAGGGAAAUUUUUUGGAAGCCAUAGCAGGGAGGAAGAAAGACACCUGCCGCACCUCAGGAUAUGUGGAAUGUGGGGGAGACAGCAACAGUCUCUUCCAAGAGUUGCUUCGGAGCAGAGCCAAGUUUCCGUGAGAACAAGGGGGAGGAGCCCGAGCGCAGGGUUGGACGGGUUGGUUCGUGGCAGGGUCGGGGGAGGGUAGGAGAUCGUCCCUCGGGGAUAAGGCCAGGGGACGACAGAUGCCCUGGUCAGCGUGGACAGGGCGAGAAGGCCUGCUAUCCCGGUGAAAGAUGGGGGUUCGUUUUACUUGCUGAGUCUGUCUCAGGCUUGGUCUCUCCGGCAUGUUGCUGUAAUAAUGGCAACGCUGGUAUCUGCUGACUCCUUGCUGUGCUGUCGACCCUUCUCAGCCCUGACAUGUACUGCCCCCCUUAUCCUCACGACUGUCCCCCUUUGGCAAGUGGGGAACCCUGUACAGGGAUGGCAAAGCGAGGAAGCAGGGAGUCUGGAUUUGAACUCAGGCAUCUGACCCCUACCUAAGCCUUGUCUUUUUUUUUUUUAAAUUUUAAGAAGGUAUUUUGUUUUCUCUCUCUCUCUCUCUCUCUGUCUUUUAAUUUAAGUGCUACAUCCAGUGUGGGGCUCGAACUCACGACGCCAUGGUCAAGCGUCACAGGGUCCUCGGACGGAGCAGGCCAGCUGCCCCUAAGAAGGCAGCCGGGGAACCAGCUCCCGGGAGUUGGGUCCAAUUCUAAAUUCCACUGGUCACUUUACCUUGGGUAACGGAGUGCGGUGCCGCUGCUGUUCCCAGUGCGAGCAGUCACGUGGCCACCCAGAAAGCUCCCUGCCCCCCUUGGCCCUGAGGCUCUGCUCUCCUUACAAGACUGGGGCACCAGGCUGAGGGGCCCAUGCCUGAGGAGAGGCCCCACGAACCACUGAGAAGAAGGUUGAGGGCUGGCAUGCUGCCUCUGGGGUGCCUGUGGGUGCCAGGGCCUGGAAUCAGCAUGCUGAGCUGGGUCCAGUAGCCACGAGUGAGGCCCCGUGAGGCCAGAAAGGCCUCCUUGUUGAAGGUUUCACUGGUCACCUCUGGAGAGGGAGGAGGGGAGGGUUUCAGGGCCUGGUGUCUAGGACCCCAGACUGUAGCUCUUCUCAGUUUCUGUCAAGGCCCCUGGGUCUGAAUCUGGUUCUAGUCCUAGAGAGAACGACCGUUUCCGACUGUUUACAGCAUAGCAGGCACCGAGCUCACAGAAUCCUUGUCACAGUUCCCUGGGUUUUAGCGUUUGUUAAUAUACUCAUUUUACAGAUGAGGAAACUGAGGCUCUAAAUAUUCACGUGAUUUGUUUAUGGUCUCCAGUUACUGGCGGCCCUAGGCAGCAAGUGCCUGCACCCUGUUCCCGAAUCCCCGGCGCUCUCUCAGGGACGCAGGGUCACACUCCUCCGCUCCAGUGCCUGUCUCAGCCCCAGGGCUCUAGCCCCCAGCCCUGAAUCCCCAGCGUCCGGGCCUUACUGCUCAAACGCUUCCCCUUCCUACCCAGGCGCCCAGGCCCAGUCCCAAACCCGUGUCUGAGGGGUGAUGCCCCGUCUCCUUGGGGUACCUGCAGCAUAGGUAAAAGGCAGAGUCGCCAGCUCCCUGGCCCGCUCCAUGAAGCCUGCAAGCCUUGGGCACCAAAACCGGUGGCUCACGUCAUCUGGGCAUCGCCGCCAGUCGGCCCGGAGACAAGUCUCUCCACAGUACAAGACGGCGCUGCACUGGGGGCUGGGGUCACAGGGGGUGGCGGGCACCCGGCGUUCAUCCCUCUAGCUCCUUGGUCUGCUGUUUGCCCUACUGCUGCCCAUGUAUCGUUUUCUGUAUACUCUGCCCCUAACACCUUGCUUUUUCCCUCCUUUGAUUCCCCGGACCCUCGCUCUGUCUGCUGGGCCCCCCCACUGCUUGCCUGAGUGUUGGGGGUCUCCCUCCCUCUCCCUCCAUCUUCCAGGCCACUCACCAAGGUGUCAGCUUCACCUCAAAGCUAUGCCUGUGACAGACGUGGCAGGUUCGAGCCCGGAGGGAGGCAAACGUGAAGCCCGGCCGGGGACCCCAUGUCCGCAUCGGGGUCUUGGCUAACUUCACUCCCAGCCUCGGGACCAGACUCUCCAAAUCUCUGAAUGGGGGUGGAGACUGUCAGGCUGGAGGGCUCAGGAGUCCAGAUCCCUAGGCCUCCCCCAACCUCAGAUACCAGAUUUCUUUACCGAUGCAGCUGGGCGUCUCCCACGGUGAGCUGUCGGGGCUUUCGAGGGUCUCCGGAGCCCAUCGGGCAGGCCAUGCUAUGGCAGAGGAGUGCAUAAGCCCGAGGAGCCAGGUUCUCAGUCCCUGAGCCCUUGCCGGCACUCUCCUGGGUUCCAUCCAUUAGCAGGUCUAUGCCCAAGAUGGUGCCAUGUUCAUCGGUCACCAGUAAGAGGCAGGAAAGGUGCAGGGGGGCAGCCUCUGGGGAAGAAGGGAAAAGUCAGGGGCGGGGAGCAGCAAAGAUGGUCAGGGUCCGGGGUAUGAACAGCAUGCCUACAGGGGCUACGCGGGUCAACUAAGUGAACAGAGGGGACCAGGUAGAGAGGGUAUGCCUCGUGGGAAGGGGCCACGUGCUGCACGAUGCCGGGCGGGGGGGGGGCGGUCUGCGGCCAUGCAGAGUAUGGGCCUGCUGUUGGAACUUCCCAGUGGGUCAGUGAAAACACCUUUUCGGGCCAGAUUGGCCUGCAGGCCACCCGAUGGUGACUCCUGGCUUGGCUGCCUGGUAGAGGAGGUCUUCCAAAGGGCAGAAUGCCCAGACCGGGGUUCUUACCGCUUCUCCGUCCCUUCCUCCUCUCGGGGCCCGGUUCGUCCUCCGCCUUGUCCUCUCGGCAGCCACCCUCACCGCCUCCUGCCUCCUGCUCGGCCUCCUCUGUCUCCCCUGGAGGGUUUGCUUCCUGGGGGGACUCCCUGCUGGUGGGGGUUGGCUCGCCGUUGUCCUCUGGGUCUACCUUCUCCACACUGGCACUCUCCUCCUCUCCAUUCUCUUCCUGCUCCUCCUCCAUUUCCUCCCCUUCCUCCAGGCUGACGAAGCUGACGUAGGGGCUUAGGUCUCGCAGGUGGAGUGGGGGCUCAUCUCCCAGGAACCGGGCAGCCCCCAGGCCUGGUCCAGGCCCUGGCUCUGCCCCUUGCCCCAGGCUGAUACCCACGCUUCGGUUGGGCAAGACAUGGAGCACCCAAAGGGCAGGGUCCUGGGGCAGCCUUCUGAUCUGAGCCUCCAGCUGGCGCCAGCGGCCCUCCGGGCUGGCCCCCGCAGCCCCACGCUCCGCGGCGAACUUUCGGAACCAGCCAAACAGGAGGGCAGCGAAAUCGAGGAACUCAUCUCGGGUGUGGAAGAGCGUCCCGGAGCCCAGCCGCAGCAUCCCCUCGGCUUGGAUCUGCUCGGCGGGGAGCCCCCGCGGACCCAGCCCCUCCCGGCCGCUCCACCACUCCGGUACCUGCAGCCGCCACCACUUUUCGAAGGUAAAUACCUCGGGGCUGGGGGGCGGCCGUGACGUCAGGGCGGCCGGAGCACGCGGCCCGCGGCCCGCGGCCCGGCCCGCGGCCCGG